rnacentral:rRNA from 1 species
GUUCGAGUUUGCCAUUCGUUGGUUAUUUCGUUUUCGCUUUUGGGAAUUUCCCUUUUUACUUUGAGAAAAUUAGAGUGUUUCAAGCAGACUUUUGUCUUGAAUACUUCAGCAUGGAAUAAUAGAGUAGGACUUUGGUUCUAUUUUGUUGGUUAUUGAACCUUAGUAAUGGUUAAUAGGAACGGUUGGGGGCAU